UACGUAGGGUGCAAGCGUUGUCCGGAAUUAUUGGGCGUAAAGAGCUCGUAGGCGGUCUGUUGCGUCCGCUGUGAAAACUCGGGGCUUAACCCCGAGCCUGCAGUGGAUACGGGCAGACUAGAGGUAGGUAGGGGAGAAUGGAAUUCCCGGUGUAGCGGUGAAAUGCGCAGAUAUCGGGAGGAACACCGGUGGCGAAAGCGGCUCACUGGACCACAACUGACGCUGAGGCGCGAAAGCUAGGGGAGCAAACAGG
rnacentral:rRNA from 1 species